GAUCAUUACUGAGGUUAUUCGGCGUUUACGCCGGUCACCCGUCCUUUUGUCAUUAGAUUACUCUGGCCCCCCUCGAGAGAGGGUGGGUGAGAGGUGGUCAUUUCCGCCGAAGCGUUGCGUCCUUAGGGGCGCGACCGCGGCGGGCCAUUUUUACAAACUCUGUAUGCAAGCUGAAGUCUGAAUUACAAGAAAUUGAAAAAUGCAAAACUUUCAACAACGGAUCUCUUGGCUCUGGCAACGAUGAAGAACGCAGCGAAACGCGAAAGGUAAUGCGAAUUGCAGAAUCAGUGAGUCAUCGAAUCUUUGAACGCACAUUGCGCCUCUCGGUAUUCCGGGAGGCACGCCUGUUCGAGCGCCAUUACACACUCCAAGCACCGCUUGAUGUUGGGCGAAGCGGUCCCCUAUUUCUGGGGGCUGCCCGCCUGGAACGCGUGGGCGCCAGCCGCCGGACCACGAGCGUAGCAAGACGACAAGUCAAUUCGCUGUGUGGGUUCCGACGGAGGGCCGCCUAGCCUCACUCCCCACGGGGAGGGUGGCACCCCAAUUUACACGAGUUUGGCCUCGGAUCAGGCGGGGAUACCCGCUGAACUUAAGCAUAUCAAUAAGCGGAGGAAAAGAAACCAACAGGGAUUGCCCCAGUAACGGCGAGUGAAGCGGCAACAGCUCAAAUUUGAAAUCUGGCGCCUUAGGUGUCCGAGUUGUAAUUUGUAGAGGGAGUCUCGGGUUGAGGGUCGGUCCAAGUCCCUUGGAACAGGAUACCGCAGAGGGUGAGAGUCCCGUAUCCGGCCGACGCCGACGCCCGUGUGAGGCCCCUUCGACGAGUCGAGUUGUUUGGGAAUGCAGCUCUAAAUGGGUGGUAAAUUCCAUCUAAAGCUAAAUACUGGCCAGAGACCGAUAGCGAACAAGUAGAGUGAUCGAAAGAUGAAAAGCACUUUGAAAAGAGAGUCAAACAGUACGUGAAAUUGUUGAAAGGGAAGCGUAUACGGCCAGACUUGGCCGCGGGGGCUCAACUCGUCUUCUGGCGGGUGUACUCCCUCGCGGACAGGCCAGCAUCGGUUCUCGCGGCCGGACAAAGACGUUGGGAAUGUGGCCAUCUUCGGGUGGUGUUAUAGCCCGGCGUGUAAUGCGGCCUGCGGGGACCGAGGACCGCGC
rnacentral:rRNA from 1 species